AGAGAUGCACUGGGCUUAAAGCGUGCGCAGGCGGUUUGUAAGACAGAGGUGAAAUCCCCGGGCUCAACCUGGGAACUGCCUUUGUGACUGCAAGGCUGGAGUGCGGUAGAGGGGGAUGGAAUUCCGCGUGUAGCAGUGAAAUGCGUAGAUAUGCGGAGGAACACCGAUGGCGCAGGCAAUCCCCUGGGCCUGCACUGACGCUCAUGCACGAAAGCGCGGGGAGCAAACA
rnacentral:rRNA from 1 species